rnacentral:rRNA from 1 species
GACGAACGCUGGCGGCGUGCUUAACACAUGCAAGUCGAACGGUAAGGCCCUUCGGGGUACACGAGUGGCGAACGGGUGAGUAACACGUGGGUGAUCUGCCCUGCACUUCGGGAUAAGCCUGGGAAACUGGGUCUAAUACCGGAUAGGACCACUGCCUGCAUGGGGGGUGGUGGAAAGCUUUUGCGGUGUGGGAUGGGCCCGCGGCCUAUCAGCUUGUUGGUGGGGGGAUGGCCUAACAAGGCGACGACGGGUAGCCGGCCUGAGAGGGUGGCCGGCGACACUGGGACUGGGAUACGGCCCAGACUCCUACGGGAGGCAGCAGUGGGGAAUAUUGCACAAUGGGCGCAAGCCUGAUGCAGCGACGCCGCGUGAGGGAUGACGGCCUUCGGGUUGUAAACCUCUUUCAGCACCGACGAAGCGCAAGUGACGGUAGGUGCAGAAGAAGGACCGGCCAAUUACGUGCCAGCCGCCGCGGUAA